rnacentral:rRNA from 1 species
UACGUAGGUGGCAAGCGUUGUCCGGAAUUAUUGGGCGUAAAGCGCGCGCAGGCGGUCCUUUAAGUCUGAUGUGAAAGCCCACGGCUCAACCGUGGAGGGUCAUUGGAAACUGGGGGACUUGAGUGCAGAAGAGGAAAGCGGAAUUCCACGUGUAGCGGUGAAAUGCGUAGAGAUGUGGAGGAACACCAGUGGCGAAGGCGGUUACCUGGAGCUUUGCUGACGCUGAUGCGCGAAAGCGUGGGGAGCGAUCCGG